UACGUAGGGUGCGAGCGUUGUCCGGAAUUAUUGGGCGUAAAGAGCUCGUAGGCGGUGUGUCGCGUCGGUCGUGAAAACUUGGGGCUUAACCCUGAGCUUGCGGUCGAUACGGGCAUCACUGGAGUUCGGCAGGGGAGACUGGAAUUCCUGGUGUAGCGGUGAAAUGCGCAGAUAUCAGGAGGAACACCAGUGGCGAAGGCGAGUCCCUGGACACUUCCUGACACUGAGGCACGAAAGCUAGGGGAGCAAACAGG
rnacentral:rRNA from 1 species